AUGUUGACGGUCACCCGGCAUACUCCGUCCGCCGGAUUGUGGACUCCCGUCGGCGAGGUCGUGGGUUUCAGUACCUCAUCGACUGGGAGGGCUACGGCCCGGAGGACCGUUCCUGGGUUCCCCGUUCUUUUAUUCUUGACCCCUCUUUGAUAAGGGACUACGCCGCCUCUCUGCCGUCCACCUCUUCUCGGCCGCCAGGGGGCGUCCGUUGAGGGGGGGGUACUGUCAGGAUCGGUGUUUUGUUUUGUUUUUUGUGGAAGCCUGCUGCUUCCCACUUCCUCCACCAGAUGCCGCCUAGGAGCAGAGCCCCUGGAGAGGCGUGGGGUCGAACCCGGGGACACACCUGUGGCGCAUUGUCUGACUGAGGCUGGGAGUAUUUAAGAAGCGGCGAGCGACACUUCCUUGCCUGAGUGUUUGUUUACCUCGGUUUACCUGGAUUCCUCCGGAGUUUUCCGAGAGGAGAGUUCUGUGGGUCGUUUGUCCCGGACUCCGACCAGCCGUCAGUUCGCUCCUCCGCUCAGUCUGACUUACCUGUCCGCCCUCCAACGGUUCGCUGCCUCUCCACGCCGCCCCUGGGUCCGUUGUUGCUCCAAAGGAAACAUCCAUCCGCUCCUAUGGCUGAACUGGUUGCCCCUUCCAGACUCCUGCUCCGUGUUUUCUCCCCAACCCUAUUCCCUCUUGUCAAUAAACUCCAUUAUUGUUUUGCA